AUGGAAGCAGUUUGGGUGAUGAAGCAACCUUUUCCUUUGGGUACCUUGGGCCCCAUGUCCCCUCUAUCAGGAAAGAACAAGACCUGCAGUGUUCCUCAGUCCCACAUCCAUGAACCCCUACCUGGAUUCUUAUCAGGAUGCUGGCCUUGUUACAGUCACAAUACUCAGAUGACAAGAAUUUCAAGAGAAGAUAAAGGACCUUGGUGUGAUUGGACACUGAGAGCAGCAGACAAAAACCAGUGGAGAAGUAUGAUUUACAAAAGAAAAAAAUUGCUCUUUGCAUAUUUAGAACAAUUACUGCAAGAUGAGAAGGAUGUUUAUGUGCUGGAAGGAGAAAGAAAAGAUGCUGGGAAUAAGAACAGCAGCUUAAAUUUUUUUAAGCUUUCCUUUCUCAAAUUGUGA
rnacentral:lncRNA from 1 species